rnacentral:rRNA from 1 species
CAGCAGCCGCGGUAAAACAGAGGGUGCGAGCGUUAAUUGGAUUUACUGGGCGUAAAGCGUGCGUAGGCGGCUUCUUAAGUCGGAUGUGAAAUCCCUGAGCUUAACUUAGGAAUUGCAUUCGAUACUGGGAAGCUAGAGUAUGGGAGAGGAUGGUAGAAUUCCAGGUGUAGCGGUGAAAUGCGUAGAGAUCUGGAGGAAUACCGAUGGCGAAGGCAGCCAUCUGGCCUAAUACUGACGCUGAGGUACGAAAGCAUGGGGAGCAAACAGGAUUAGAGACCCCGGUAGUCCCUGUCUCUUAUAC